rnacentral:lncRNA from 10 species
CAAACUUCAUUUCACAAUGGCUGCUGACAUCAAUAAUGUCAGACAGGAUAAUCAAGUUUGCAUAAUGUAACAGUUCUCCAAGGGUCCCUCUGCACAAUCACCCCUCCCAGCCUGCAUAUAGGGAAACAGACCUUAGAUUAGGCAGAAAAGGCCCUUAGACUGUCAAACACAAGAGUCCUUUCUCCACAUGCGAUUUUACAGGAGUUAGCCUCCAUCAGAAAAGCUGACUUCUGAUUCCAGUUUGACCCUUUAUUGGCAGGAGGACAGGGGCAAAUCAUUGAAUCAUCCUGUGCCUCAAUUUUCUCUGCUUUAAAGUGGAAAUAACUCUGUAGUAUUCUAAAAGAAUGUCGAUCUUGAAUGGCAUAUAUGUACCAUGUAAUUGAUGAAGUUUAUUAAGAAUAAAAAUAUGGUGAUAGUUCAAUAAGUUACUUUGUCAACUUAAUAUUUGUUAACAUACAUUGCCAAUAAUUUAUUUGGAAAAUAACUAAUAUUUAGUAAAAUAGAACAACAGAA